rnacentral:rRNA from 1 species
CCUACGGGCGGCAGCAGUGAGGAAUAUUGGUCAAUGGACGAAAGUCUGAACCAGCCAUGCCGCGUGCAGGAUGACGGCUCUAUGAGUUGUAAACUGCUUUUGUAGGAGGGUAAACUCCCCUACGUGUAGGGGCUUGAAUGUAUCUUACGAAUAAGGAUCGGCUAACUCCGUGCCAGCAGCCGCGGUAAUACGGAGGAUCCAAGCGUUAUCCGGAUUUAUUGGGUUUAAAGGGUGCGUAGGCGGGUUUGUAAGUUAGAGUUGAAAUGCCGGUGCUCAACCCCGGAACUGCCUCUGAUACUGUUGGACUAGAGCGUAGUUGCGGUAGGCGGAAUGUGUGGUGUAGCGGUGAAAUGCUUAGAGAUCAUACAGAACACCGAUUGCGCAGGCAGCUUACCAAACUAUAUCUGACGUUGAUGCACGAAAGCGUGGGUAGCAAACAGGAUUAGAUACCCCGGUAGUC